GGGGUUGUGGCUCAAUGGUAGAGCUCUUGCCUAGUGUGCGUGAGUCCCUGGGUUCAAUCCUCAGCACCA
rnacentral:tRNA from 1 species